GAGUAGGUAGAGAUCUCAGGUAAAAAGAGAUGAAAAUUUAUGGAUUUGGGUUAACAUCAGUAUCGGUUGAGACUUGACCAAAAAUGUCAGGACAGGAUUCCCAGUUCCCCUUUUCCCUACUCUCCCAGUACCCUCCAGUAUAACGGUAAGAGCUGCUGCCUUUUUCCUUAGCAAACCACCUUGGUUUCCAACCCUUUUCUUGCAUCUUUCGUGCCUGCAAUUAUGGAGAGUCUCUUGUUUAUUAAUGAAUGAGAGCACAUUAACCAGCACAACAUCAUGCAUUUCAUUACAGGAGGGUCCAAUAAUGCAACAAUUGUACCUGCCGCUGUCUUUGUUCCAGUCGCAACUUUUCAGAAUUGGCCAUUUCAUGCUGUCCAUUCUCCAAACACCUUUGAUCAGGUCUUAGCCUUGAAUCUGUCGGUGGCAACUUCUCCUGUUUGUUAACACAAAAUGUCAGAAAUAAGUACUGACCAACAACAUAAUUUUAAUGCGUUAUUGAUGUGAUUUUCCAUUAAACUGCAUGAUUAUUUACUAUCUGAUGAGUUUUUGACUAAAUUGUAAUGAUUUUAAAUAAAAGUCAUUUUAUGCUUGGAUGUUUUUAAACAAAGUACUAUAAACCUUUUAUGGAACGGAAAAGCUAUUUAAAAUCAUUUUUCAGUGCACAAUCAAUUCUUUAAACCGAAACUAUAGAUGUGAAUAUUUAGUUUGAACAUCGUUACCCUGUAUGUUAUUGUGAGUUUGGAUGUGUUUUUGGAUUAGAAUUGGAAAAUCGGUUUUGUAAAUUUCAAUGUGCAAUUGCGUGAUUCAUACUCGCCUUUAGUCCAGGUGUGAUUUCAUUGAGUGUAAUAGCAAAUUGUGUGAAGUUAUAUCUUGUCUGGUACUCCGGUGGCGGGCUCCUCUUCCACAGAAGAUGUGGUUUUGAUGACUCAUUGGACCCUUUUCCUUUCCCAAAACUCCCC
rnacentral:lncRNA from 1 species